ACAAAAACAUCGCCUUAUAACAUAAUUUAAGGUUAUUUCUGCUCAAUGCUAACAAAGUAAAUAGCUGCAGUAUCCUAACUGUACUAAGGUAGCAUAAUAAUUUGUCCUUUAAUUGAGGUCUGGAAUGAAUGAAUUCACGAGAGAUUAACUGUCUUUAAAUAAAUUUAUGAAAUUUAUCUUUAAGUUAAAAAGCUUAAAUAUAUUGGAGGGACGAAAAGACCCUAUAGAUCUUAACUAUUUAGUAUAUAUAUUUAUAUAUUAAAUAAGGUUGUUUGGGAUGAACCUCAAAAUUAUAUAACUUUAGAUAUUGUAACAAUAAUAAAUUUAAUUUAAUGAUCCUUUUAAGGAUAAAUAGAAAUAGUUACCUUAGGGAUAACAGCACAAUUAUUAUUAAUUAGCUCAUUUAAAUAAUGAAGGUUGUGACCUCGAUGUUGAAUUAAGUUUACUGGUAAAUGUAGAAGGUUACUAAGUUAGUCUGCUCGACUAUUAGACACUUACGUGAUCUGA
rnacentral:rRNA from 1 species